AGAUGUCAAGCUCCAGGAUCAGAUGAGAAGACAGCAGCCUUUCACCAACUCUUUAGCCGAUGUCCACAGUUGUACAAGGACAGAUCCUUUUAAUAAAUUAUACCCUAGUGAUAUCUGUUGUUCCCGGAUUCGGAGUUUCUCAGAUUCAAUCUCUACAGAGAGUGUGCUGCCAAUCUUCUACUGGAUUGGGGAAAAGUUCUUCUUUGCUGUGUGGGCGGAUGAGAAGGCAGCUGCUUGAAUACUUGAUACCUCCAAACCUCAUUUUGAAAUUUGACCUCAGUGUUAGAGGUGGAGUCUCAUGGAAAGUGUCUGGGUCAUGAGGGCAGAUCCCUCAUGAAUAGAUAAAUGCUUUGCCUCAAAGGGAG